CAAAUGCGUCAUGUAUUGUUCUAUGUUUGAUUUGACAGACAUCUAUGAGUUGGCCAUAAAUUCGUUAUGCCGCCAAUUGUCAACAGAUUAGUUCCCGGGCCUGUUGCAGCAACCAGCAUACCAGUCCGUCGAAGUUUCACAUCACCUCACCGACAACGACCACAGGUGUUCUUCUAUGCGGGUCAUGCCGCUUUCAAAAACCCAACACCGAAACGUCUGGCCGCCAAAAAAAUAAA